ACUUGGAUAACUGUGGUAAUUCUAGAGCUAAUACAUGCAAACCAGAGUUCCGACCAGAGAUGGAAGGAACGCUUUUAUUAGAUCAAAACCAAUCGGUGGCGGGCUUUGCUCGUCCACCGUUUACUUUGGUGACUCUGAAUAACUUUGUGCUGAUCGCACGGUCUCGUACCGGCGACGCAUCUUUCAAAUGUCUGCCUUAUCAACUGUCGAUGGUAGGUUCUGCGCCUACCAUGGUUGUAACGGGUAACGGGGAAUCAGGGUUCGAUUCCGGAGAGGGAGCCUGAGAAACGGCUACCACAUCCAAGGAAGGCAGCAGGCGCGCAAAUUACCCACUCCCGGCACGGGGAGGUAGUGACGAAAAAUAACGAUACGGGACUCAUCCGAGGCCCCGUAAUCGGAAUGAGUACACUUUAAAUCCUUUAACGAGGAUCAAUUGGAGGGCAAGUCUGGUGCCAGCAGCCGCGGUAAUUCCAGCUCCAAUAGCGUAUAUUAAAGUUGUUGCGGUUAAAAAGCUCGUAGUUGAAUCUGUGUCGCACGCUGUCGGUUCGCCGCUCGCGGUGUUUAACUGACAUGCUCGUGAGACGUCCUACCGGUGGGCUUAGCUCCUUCGGGGGCGGUCUAACUAAUAUCCCAUCGCGGUGCUCUUUAUUGAGUGUCGAGGUGGGCCGGUACGUUUACUUUGAACAAAUUAGAGUGCUUAAAGCAGGCUAUCAUUUGCCUGAAUAUUCUGUGCAUGGAAUAAUGGAAUAGGACCUCGGUUCUAUUUUGUUGGUUUUAAGAAACCCGAGGUAAUGAUUAAUAGGGACAGAUGGGGGCAUUCGUAUUGCGACGUUAGAGGUGAAAUUCUUGGAUCGUCGCAAGACGGACAGAAGCGAAAGCAUUUGCCAAAAAUGUUUUCAUUAAUCAAGAACGAAAGUUAGAGGUUCGAAGGCGAUCAGAUACCGCCCUAGUUCUAACCAUAAACGAUGCCAGCUAGCGAUCCGCCGAAGUUCCUCCGAUGACUCGGCGGGCAGCUUCCGGGAAACCAAAGCUUUUGGGUUCCGGGGGAAGUAUGGUUGCAAAGCUGAAACUUAAAGGAAUUGACGGAAGGGCACCACCAGGAGUGGAGCCUGCGGCUUAAUUUGACUCAACACGGGAAACCUCACCAGGCCCGGACACCGGAAGGAUUGACAGAUUGAGAGCUCUUUCUUGAUUCGGUGGGUGGUGGUGCAUGGCCGUUCUUAGUUGGUGGAGCGAUUUGUCUGGUUAAUUCCGAUAACGAACGAGACUCUAGCCUGCUAAAUAGGCGUACCUU
rnacentral:rRNA from 1 species